rnacentral:rRNA from 1 species
GACGAACGCUGGCGGCGUGCUUAACACAUGCAAGUCGAGCGAGGCCCACCUUUCGGGGUGGUGUCCUAGCGGCGAACGGGUGAGUAACACGUGGGCAACCUGCCCUCAGCUCUGGGAUAACUCCAAGAAAUUGGGGCUAAUACCGGAUAUGACUGCUGACCGCAUGGUCUGGUGGUGGAAAGAUUUAUCGGCUGGGGAUGGGCCCGCGGCCUAUCAGCUUGUUGGUGGGGUAGNGGCCUACCAAGGCGACGACGGGUAGCCGGCCUGAGAGGGUGACCGGCCACACUGGGACUGAGACACGGCCCAGACUCCUACGGGAGGCAGCAGUGGGGAAUAUUGCGCAAUGGGCGAAAGCCUGACGCAGCGACGCCGCGUGGGGAUGACGGCCU